AGGCGAGCGUGUGAUUACGGAGGACCUACCAGGUGCCCUCGGGAGCUGAGGGGCACGGGCUGAAGCCCUGCCCCUGGGUGUUCCUGCGGCCCCUAAUGAGUGCGGCCCCUUGCUGCUCCUAGGCCGCCGUGGGGAGGAGCUGCGCGCGGGUCGCGGGGCCGCGUGCGCAUUCUGCGGCUGUCAGCCACGGUCUGGGGACGGAGGGGUCGGCGGGACGGCUUGAAUCCAGGGCCUGUCCGCAGCGUCGGGAGGCUGUCCAGAGAGCUCAGGGCGGAGGAGCAAGGCGGGAACAAGGGAUCGCGUGGGGGCCGCAUUUCCCUGCCUGGGCCCGCCGUGGGGCCGAGAAGACGCCCCGCGGAGGAAGAACGCCUCCCAGGGCCAGGCCGCCCUGUGCUCGGCCGGCGCGGCUUCCGCCGCGGGGGCGGGCCGGGGCUUUUGCACGCGGGCCCUGAAGAGCAGGGUGCGUCCCGACGUCCCCCAAGGGCUUCAGCCCUGGCAGAGAGGGUCGGCCGCCGAGCCGGUGAGGCGGGAAGAGGAGAAGAGCCCGGGCGGCGUGAAGUGGACACAGCUGGAGCACAGAGGCCCGUGGUUCGCGGCCCCCUACGAGCCCCUUCCUGAGGGAGGUCCUUCUACGACGUGUUCUGUGAUAAAGGUUCUCAAACGUACAACAGCGGAGAGAACUCCGUAGUGAAGGCCCUCCCCGCACUGGCCUUCACGCUCCUGAGCUGGACCCUCUUCUCCACCGAGCUGUUCCUAGUGCCAGCGCUUGGAGUAAAAUGUUGGAAGUCACUGGGCAAAUGGGAAGGUGUUUAAAGGUUGCAGCUGCUACAGUUAAUCACACAUCUGUUCUGAAGCCUUAACUUUAGUUUUGCUUCUGUUAAGUGGUGAUGUGCAUCCUCACACUGCAGGUGUUGUUGAUCUGGAAAUUUCGGCGUGAACGUAGCAGCAAAGUAAAUCAUUCAGUUCAGUUCA